rnacentral:rRNA from 1 species
CGCCUCCCUCCGCCGCCACUCACGACCUACCGUACCGGGACGGACGAGCGAGUAGGGAAGUAGUUGGUACGAAGUAGGGCGGCAACGCCUCGAUCCAGCAAUGCCGCGUGUGUGAGAAGGCUCGGUUGUAAGCACUUUAUCAGGAGACGAAUACUACCGGUUAAGUAACCGGUGGGCGUGACGGUACCUGAGGAAUAAGCACCGGCUAACUUCGUGCCAGCAGCCGCGGUAAUC